UGUUGAUGAGAAUUACCCAAGUAGUCCAGGUAUGAGGCUGUGCGGAUAUAGUAAUCAUAAUUUUCAGUGGCAUCGGCAUGUUCUAAUAAAUAAGAUGGGAAGUUCAGAAUAAUGUAACAUCGGCAUGUUCUAAUAAAUAAAAUAAGAGAAGGUUGGGUAUACUGAAGCAGACCCCUUAUAAUUAUGAACGGUUUAUAAAGUUGAAGGAUGAAACUUGAACGAACACAAUUCUGAGGUUUGUAAAGUGAAGCCAAAGACAAGUUCGAGGGGUAAUGUGGACUUCUCUCAAACUAUAUUAUUAGAGGACAAUGAGGGUCUUGAAGACAAUGAAAGCGAUGAGUUUCUGCUGGUUUUGUUUUGUUGUAGGCGAAGUUCUUAAUUAUAAUUAUCAAUGUGUUUGUUUUUCUUAAGGACGCAGUGACAUGCAAGGCGAGGGAAAUUGAAGCCAAAACAUGCAGGACGGCCAGGAGUGUGCCAUUUUUUCUAUGACAGGGGGUGGUUCUUCAAUCUUCAGGGAAUCAAGUGGUAGCAUCAGAUACUGACAUGCAUGGAAGGUAGCAGUAUAUGUAUUUGUAGCAAAUCAUCAUCGCCCAUAAAUAAAUCAUCUCUUGCCCGCUUCCUCUGUCCGGUUGUCAACUCAAAUUGCUUUGGUUCACAAGUUCGUUUCAUCGUACAUCUAGGUACACUAGAACUGAGAGACUACUUUCCUUGAAUGGCUCAUGCGAGUAAACUGACAAUAGUAUUCAUCCAAGAUGCAGUAGUAUAUGUAUCUUCAUAGAGAUGUAGAUGCAUAGAUAGUUCAAUAGUGCACAUGUUCAUUGACAGGGAUGUAGAUGUAGUAUACAACCGAGGUUACAUUGACAAGUUGGUCCAUGAUGCUCCCAGGAAAAAGAAAAUAUGAUAUAUUGUUUCACACUAUCAUCCAUAGUGAAACUUGUAUUUAAUAUUUCUUUGUUUUGCAAUGCUGAAUAUUUUGGGAACACACAGUAAGAUGUAAUCUACGGAUUCACCAAAUCAGCUUGAACAUUGUUAUCAUGCUUCGUAUGAUUUGGUAAUGAUUUCAGAACAUGGAAUGGGGCAAAUAAAGUUGAAACCAUGUACUGUUCCUCACAAAAAAAACAGUUAAUGUCGAGAGGUUUCAUACUGACAUUAUUUCUUACCAACUAAUGGUGCAUUACUCCUGCCAUGAUAACAGCAGCUAACUACUCCAUGAUCACAGCAGUAAACAUUGAUAAGAGUACAAGCAUUGGAGGAGUACUCACCACGUUCGAGGAAGUCGUCAUCAUGGUGGUGGUGGUCGAGGAAGUCGUAGGUGCUGGUGGCAUCAUCACGGAGCAGUUACCAUCUUCUCCUCGACUUAAAAUGUAGUACUCCAUGUACUCCCACUUGUUAACUUUUUGAAAUGCAGAUCCACUCCAAGAAUGUGCUCUGAAAUGGAAGUAACAUGGAGUAUACUCUAAAAAUCAGUAUGGUUUGAGCCCACUAGAUCAAUCAAAGUUCUCCAGCAUGAUAAAAAUAA